GAGGCCGCGCGGAGCCGCGUAGGGAUACGCCGGCGGGAGCACGCGGUGCCGCAGCCCUUCCCUGCGCCCCCGCCACCCCCUCCACCCCGCCGGCUCCGCUCCACCGAAAUUCCCCUCCUAGGGCCAAUAGCUCACAUUUCCGGCUUCCUCCUCAUUGUACUGGGUCAUUUUCGUUUAAGCGUCAAUAUUUGUCCUUAGUGAUUAAAGUUUGUAUCCAAUUUUAUUUUUGAAAGCGGGGGUGGUGGUGGUAGUGGGAAGAGUGGGAGUGCAGGGAGAGGAUGCGAGAGGGCAGGAAAUGGAGGAGGUAGAGGCGAGGCACUACUUUUCCGAGUCGGCCUUGCAGGCCAGUGUCUGGCAUUUCUGAGCCAGCAGGAAAAUUGUGCCCUUUGUAGGUAAUAGUCUAGCGCAGCUUUGGAUAAGGGGGGAGAUAAGGCCCACCGCUGGCGUGUGUGCGGGGGUGUCCUUUACUUCGGGGGAGGAGGGUGUGGGAGAGCUUUGGGAGCGAUGAGAUGAGGAGGAGGAAGUGGGCAGAGGAGCGCGGGGCCAAACAGGGGUUACUUACUCGAUUCCUGAGGCCUGGGCGGCGGCGAGCUCCGGGCUCCGGCACCGCGGGGAAACCGGGACUGGGGCUCCGGGUGCUGCUGCGGCGGCCGGGGCCGCUCAGUAGUGGGCGCCUCUGAUGGCCUUCCGAAAUGAGAGGUGCCCAGAGAGAAAACAGUACCAAACAAUCUCGAAAUAAAUCAGGUAACACAUGCUAUAUACGUGUGUCUCUUCCUUUUCCUUCUCUCCUGCUCCAGAGCGUCGCUCACGCGCGGGGUGACUCGAUGUCGUUUUCUCCUCGCCGCUCCAGCCUCAGCUUCUAAUCCGAAUUGGAAGCGGGUAGCUGCGAGCGAUCACCCUGGAAAUAUUUUCGUUUUGCUUGUUGACAUUGGAGGGAAAAUAAGGGUGGGCGUCUAUUUCUUUCCGGUUUUUUUUUUAAGCCUUCCUAUUUUCACUCCUUUUUUUUCCUUUCCGUUUCUCAAAUGCUUUUAUUUUGUGCGGGCCUCAUUCCUGAAAUAACAGUAUACUGAAGCCAGCUCUUGCCAACCCUGAGUGCUGCUGGAAAGCACCGGGGAGCCUUGGGAACGUGGAUCUCACAGUCCCAGCUUCUUGGGCUUUGGAACUGGGAAGGUUCGGUUGGAGGUUGAAGUGAAUGGGGAAAUUGCGAAUCGGGGGCUUUAAAAGGAUCCCGUGGCCAGGGGCAGGGCUAAGGCCCAGCAUUUCCCAGGGAUUGGAAUUUAGUGGGGAGCACAUUGAUCAAAGGCUGUUUCAUCCCACAUGGGCACGAAACAUACCACAUUUUACGGAGGAUGUAGCCCCAGAGAAGAGGGAGGUGGAGAAGCAUAAAUGAAAGGCACCUUUUCCUUCCUCUAGAAGGUAAAUAAUUAUAAAAUGUAAGCAUUUCUUCACUUGGAUAAACUUUCAUUAAGAUAUCUGGCAGAUUUGGUAUUUAAGAAAACGAAGGAAGGAAAAUUGGUGCUUAUGCUUGAUCCUAAAGUUAAAUUGUAACAUAAAGAAUGCGGUUGAUGAAUACUCAGGAUAAUAGGGGGUUAUUCCAUCCUCCCCACCCCCAGUCUUAAGAAAGAGAAAGAGAGAAAAGGUUGGGGGGGGGGGAGGAAACUGGAGAGAAUAAUAGAUAAUUACAAAUAGCUAGUGAAUUUUAAAUAUGCAUCUAUUAGGAAUGCCACAAAGGAGCUUUGAAUAUUGGACUAACCUCAAAUGUCCUUCCACUGUAUGUAUGUAUCUUUACCUAUGUCUACAUAUCUUCUCACUUUAAAACAAACUGUAUUUACAUGUGGAAAAAUUCAAGGGUUCCAACAAUCAGUGUUGAUAGUGACAUGGUCCCAAACAUUUAUUUCCAAGCUCUGGAUUUCUCGCAGGGCCGGGUGAGCUAAUGGGCUUUGCCUACCGGCUGGAGAGAUUUGUGGGCCUUCCCCUUCCUACUCACUUUUCCUCCUCCCACUCUUCUCCCCUCUUCAGGCCCGUUCUUCCUACUUUUCCUCAACUCUCCUUCCUCCCUCCUCCCUCCUUCUCCCUUAGCUCCCCCCGCCCCUUCCCCCCACCCUCCAUUCCUCUGUCUCUCCAUUCCUCCACCUACUCCUCCCAAUUUCUCCUCUUACAGCCCCCCUUCUCACCACCACUUAUAAUGGCACACAGGGCUCCCUCUGAGGUGGACGGCCCGGUACGUUUUCGUAGUCGGUCUAGCGUGAAAUGAUUCGGUGUAACCGGAUUCUUGGGAAAGGACAGGUUACGUAAACAUUUACUGAUGUGGAGUAACUAUACUAUUUGUACUCUGAUAUGCAGGAAGGAAAGUGUUGAUUAACACAGAAGAAAAAAAAAACGAAAUUAGCUGAUUGCAUGCUCAUAAGUGCAAGCUGUCAUUGAACUGCUUUUAAAAUAGACACAGCUGGGUGUUUGUGUUGAAAAAUUUCUUGUGUUUUUGCUAAUACUGAAAUAAGCAUGAUUUUGUAUACCAAACAUUUUCAGAUCAUUAAAAUUUGUAAUCUGUGCUGGUUUUAAACACAAAGAAAAGAAACAGAAUCAUUUCGAUGUAAAAUUUGCUGAUAUUAUAUUAACUCAAUCAGGUCUGUACAAAUUGUGCAUUGUGCCUCCUAAAAUCUGUUUGAUCAAUUUAAUACACAAAGUGCCAAACGUGGGUAUUGUUUGUUAACAUUGGACAUUUUAUUCAAAUCCGAGCUCAGCAGCAAACUGGAGGAGCUUUCCUUCAAUACAACACCAGCUCUGACUGAUGAAUUUUUAAUGUUUUAAGGUGUUUCUUAGGUCAAAUCUGAGCGUGCAUUGUUUUGUAAUCCUGUAUAAAAUUUUAGCAGGUGGAAAUAAGUUUUUCUUCUGUUUACUUUCAAAUAGCAAAAACUGGGGUUUGCUAAUGAGCACUGUAAUAAUCUGAUUUUAUAUGCUAGGAGCUCAUAUUGACUGGGAAAAUGUUUUUCAUUCAAAUUAAGGCUAUGUUAUAUAGUUUAAGGAUUGCAUGAAUGCAAGUCUCUCAAAAUAGGAUAUUCUUAUGGGCAUAAAUAGUAUAUAGUUUAAUGUAAUAUUUAAAAAUCUAUUCUUCCUAAUGACAAAAGUUAUUUGUAAUCUGGCAAGAAGUGAGUUUUAAUUCCUUUUAAUAAUUUCAAUUGCACUUUAUGUCGAGAUGGUGAUAUAUAUAUAUACUCACACACAUAUAUAUGUGUGUGUGUGUAUAUAUGUAUAUAUAUAUAGCUUGUUCAACAAAACAUGCACUGUUUACUCAGCACCCCGUGUUUGUCUCAGCAAUAGCUUUUUUAAAGAACUGCUACUAUUUGAAAUGGAGGGGGAGGGGGGUCCUGGACAGAGUAUUGUGCAAGUUGAAAGUCUCUGGAUGGGGCUUUGUAUAUCCUACCAGCCAAUUUGGGUGCAAAUUGGAUUUGAAGGCCUGCCUCUGUCCACCUCGGGCCUCUUCCCUAAGCACUGGAAGCCCAAUCUUCAGCCCCACUCAGUCACCGUGAUUACCUUCAGAAGACAGAGGGAAUUCAGUUGUCUCAGACCUGAAACAAAUUCUCUAUCAUUCUAAUUUUUUUCUCAUGAUGGAUCUAACCUUGAUCUCUCACACAGACAUCUACAAAUGUGUACUAUUAAUGAAUAAAAGCAGAAGUCAAAGUAAAUGUAAUUUUCUGGUAUAUAUCACAGUAAACUUCUCUCUUGCUCUGUCUGCAGUCCCCCAGCUCUCCCAAAGAGGUCAGGCCCCGUAAAGAGUGAGCAGUUCCAAUGGAAGAAUUGGUUAGGAAAUGAAUUAGAUUAUUCCUUCUGGAGUUUUAAUUAAUAACCAAGGCUACACAGCAUACUUCAUCCGAGUAGGGAGCAGAACAUUUCAUUUUUCCAUUUGGCGGUGUUAUUUAAGUAUUCUUUAGGGCCUCUUUCCUGUUUUCAGUCAGUGAUCCGCCUCUUUUCUUCUUGCUAGCUGCUGGUUAAAGGAAGGUGGGCCCCAUUUACCUAAAAUCCACUCUGCUCUCCAUUCCCUGGACAGGGUGUCCUUGGAGUGGCACCCAGCGCCAAGCUCUAGCUAAAGUUCUCUUCCUGCAGAUGCACAGAGAAUUUCUGACCUUGUGACGUUUGGGAGUGAGGAGAUCCCAUACAGAGGCAUCCAGGUAUUUCCAGAGAUCCUGUGGCAGGUGAGGUCUGCCCUCGCUGGAGCCAACUCGUCUAUAAUAUCUUCCUAACAGCAGGUAAUGGUGCUAACAUUUAGUGAUUAGAAGUUACUCUUUAGCGUGUUGUAUCCUCGUUCUGUGGGUUUUGGUUACAGGUUAUACGAUUAGGUUUGCGAGAACAGUAGUGAACUAAACUUCUCAGUAAGAGGUCUUCACACCAGGGAAGUGUUACUUUUCUGCAGCAGCCCUGCCUCGUCACUCAUUAGGGAGCUGCAGGUUGUCAGUGGCUGCUCUCAGCGCGCGCACGCGCACCCUCAACGUCCCCGGGGGCGCGCACAUUCGCGCGUGUGUGUACACACACACACAUACACACACACACACACACACAGCACUAAAACUAAAUUAAGAAGCCGAUGAUUAAGACAAGCGUCUACUAGGCCUGUCAUUUCAGCAUCCUUCCAUCAUAACAUUGUGGCACCGGCAAUUUUGCUUGAGAACCUCGAGUAAAAAAAUCUAUGGGAGAGCCUCGUCUAUGAGAGUGGAAAUGUUUAGCUUGUGUAAGCUAGGGAGCCACUUUAAAAGGGAGAAAGUCCAAGGCGAAGAAGAGGAGCAGGAGGAGGAAGAGGACAAGGAUGAGGAGAAGGCCUUGACAGAGACCCCUGGGACUCUCCAGGCAAGUCUCUGUGACGCUGCCAGGUGUUCCAGGCUCUCUGAAGCCAAGUACGUACGCAGCCAAAAGAAAAGUCCCGUGAUCUUCAGCAAAAUGUGCAUGGGAGAAGCUUUGUCCCGACAUUAGCCAAGGGAGAGCCAGGCGUGGAAAGAUCCAUGACGAAAUACCACCAGAGGGCCAAGGGACUUUAGUCUCUGGAAAAACUUCUCAGUCGAAUACUCUGUACAUCUCUUGUAAACAUUGUAAACAUAAUGUCCACUACCCUUUUACUUGUUUCGCGUUCUUUGCCAGUGCCCUCCAGAGGGUGAGUGAUUUGCUGAAGGACUUGAGUCCCUGAUAGUGUGAGGGCGGACCUGUUCCAUUUUUAGACCUGAUCCAGUUGUGAGAAAUGGUCCCACACAGCCUGGGGAAGUGCCCCUGAGAGGCCGAUUCCUAUUUUUCCUCUAGUUACCCAAGGAAAUGGUGUAGUCAGUCUUUCAAAGGAGAUAGGGGAAGCUCCACAAACAACCAUAACACAGCACAACAAAACAAAACAAAGAGCUGAAGGGGUGUUGGUGAACUAGAAUGAAGGAGGCUAGAGCUCAGGUUCUUAGUUUUAACCCCCAGCUCUAUCCCAUAAGGAAGAAAGUGAGACUUGGCAAAAGCCAGCCCACAAACAAUAUUACCUCGGAUUUUCCAUCAGUGGGGCACCAAAACAGGAAAAAAG
rnacentral:lncRNA from 1 species